CGCUUUCUGUCCCGAACUAACUCUAUCUGACUUUUGUAUGUUAGCUCUCUGUUGGGUUGCAUCAGCUCUUGAGAGUGUCACUAGUACAUACUUUCUGAAAUUGGACUUCUGAAUUGUUUGGCUAGUUGUGCAGUUCAUCGUACCUUAGAGUUAUUCCAUGGCUAUCGAGCGUCGCUCCCACAAGAAGAUUGUUAGCCUAUUUUCCCCGUGUCGGCUCCCACGGUUUAGUUAUCUUGUCCUCGUUGCUAUAAAUGGUUUCUCUGCAUGCU
rnacentral:lncRNA from 1 species